rnacentral:rRNA from 1 species
AGAACGAACGCUGGCGGCAGGCUUAACACAUGCAAGUCGAACGCCCCGCAAGGGGAGUGGCAGACGGGUGAGUAACGCGUGGGAAUCUACCCAUCUCUACGGAAUAGCUCCGGGAAACUGGAAUUAAUACCGUAUACGUCCUUAGGGAGAAAGAUUUAUCGGGGAUGGAUGAGCCCGCGUUGGAUUAGCUAGUUGGUGGGUAAAGCCUACAAGGCGACGAUCCAUAGCUGGUCUGAGAGGAUGACCAGCCACAUUGGGACUGAGACACGGCCCAAACUCCUACGGGAGGCAGCAGUGGGGAAUAUUGGACAAUGGGCGCAAGCCUGAUCCAGCCAUGCCGCGUGAGUGAUGAAGGUCUUAGGAUUGUAAAGCUCUUUCAGUGGGACGAUAAUGACGGUACCCACGAAGAAGAAGCCCCGGCUAACGUUCGCGCCAGCAGCCGC